rnacentral:rRNA from 1 species
UGGGGAAUAUUGGACAAUGCGGGAAACCGUGAUCCAGCAAUGCCGCGUGAGUGAUGAAGGCCUUAGGGUUGUAAAGCUCUUUUACCAGGGAUGAUAAUGACAGUACCUGGAGAAUAAGCUCCGGCUAACUCCGUGCCAGUAGCCGCGGUAAUACGGACGGAGCUAGCGUUGUUCGGAAUUACUGGGUGUAAAGCGCGCGUAGGCGGCUAUUCAAGUCAGGGGUGAAAUCCCGGGGCUCAACCCCGGAACUGCCCUGGAAACUAGGUAGCUAGAAUACUGGAGAGGUGAGUGGAAUUCCGAGUGUAGAGGUGAACUUCGUAGAUAUUCGGAAGAACACCAGUGGCGAAGGCGACUCACUGGAAAGUUAUUGACGCUGAGGUGCGAAAGCGUGGGGAGCAAACAGGAUUAGAUACCCGUGUAGACCC